GAUGAACGCUAGCGGCAGGCUUAACACAUGCAAGUCGAGGGGUAGAGGAAGCUUGCUUCCUUGAGACCGGCGCACGGGUGCGUAACGCGUAUACAAUCUACCUUUUACAGAGGGAUAGCCCAGAGAAAUUUGGAUUAAUACCUCAUAGUAUUUUCGGAUCGCAUGAUUUGAUUAUUAAAGUUCCAACGGUAAAAGAUGAGUAUGCGUCCCAUUAGCUAGAUGGUAAGGUAACGGCUUACCAUGGCAAUGAUGGUAGGGGUCCUGAGAGGGA
rnacentral:rRNA from 1 species